CCUUCAUCCUCUCUCUCUCUCUCUCUCUCUCUCUCUCUCAGAGUAAACAGUAGUGGAGAGAGUCUGGUAAACAUUGGAUUGGAGGUUUUGCUUGCCAUGAGAGGAUUCUUCAGAGCUGACUCAAUAUUGAGGGUCAUCGCAACAUUCUUCUCUACCCAUGCAUUGUCUCAGUGAGAAACUGGAUUGGAAACUACUACUACUUCUCCGAGGCUACUACACGCAUCCAAGGGAGAAAGAGAGGCGGAGAAGACGAAUGAAUCUUUCAACCAAAUAUUCCCGUUGGAGGAAAUUUGCUCCCACAGGUAUCGGGCAUCAUGGUGAUUAUUCUUGGAUCGCCUGUCACUUAAUCUCCAUGUGUGCGUAUCUUUGCAAAAAUGUAAAAUUUUAAAUAAAAGAAAUCUCUAAAACUCGAUUGUAUAUGCAUACAGUUAUAUU